GUAGGUAUAGCCCAGUGGUAGAGCACAUGCUUAGCAUGCACAAGGUCCUGGGUUCAAUCCCCAGUCCCUCCA
rnacentral:tRNA from 1 species